CCAGAUACAUAAAAUUUGAGAAAAUCACCUUUUUAUGUGACUGAAGCAACAAAAAUUGUUACCAAUGAUCAAAUUCCAACUCUAUUGUAACGAAUUUUGUCUCAUGGUCAGAUAACCAAAAUGUGGCAGUUUUAAAACGACUUUGUCACAAAAAACCUAGAUGCGAGCAUAUUGUAACCAAUUUUUGUAACUUUGUGUCGCUCGGGUUGUAUCGUGGCAUCGUCACAGUCACGUAACCAACAAAUAUCUUUUGUGAAUCGACAAAACGAUCAGGUGCGCUUGAUUGGACGCAUACGAAGAACAUAGUCAACAAAUACAAACAACCAAACAAAUGGCCAUGGUGGCCGAUAAUUACCAAACAAUACACGCACGCACGUCGCAAAUCCAUACAUUUUGAUUUAACAUUAUCAGUAGUAUAAUAUUGAAUCAAACUGUAAGUUACUUUUGAUGUGGUAUUUUUUAUGGACAAGUAAAUAUGUUCUCGAAUAUAAA